rnacentral:lncRNA from 1 species
GGGGUGCGUCCCAAAAUCGCUGUGUGAUCGGGCUCAGAGGGCCGAGGGCCGCCUCGCGGAGGAGCGAGGCCUGCGGCUCCGCCGGCCCCGCCGCAUAGAGGAGGCGGCGGGGGGGGAAUGGGAGGGCGCGGAGGGCGCGGGGCUACUGCAGGGGGCGCGGGCAGCCCCUCCCGGCGCCGCGCUCCAUGGCCCCGCCGCGCUCGGCCUUCGGCUCCGGC